rnacentral:rRNA from 1 species
CAGCCGCCGCGGUAAUACAGAGGGUGCGAGCGUUAAUCGGAUUUACUGGGCGUAAAGCGUGCGUAGGCGGCUUCUUAAGUCGGAUGUGAAAUCCCUGAGCUUAACUUAGGAAUUGCAUUCGAUACUGGGAAGCUAGAGUAUGGGAGAGGAUGGUAGAAUUCCAGGUGUAGCGGUGAAAUGCGUAGAGAUCUGGAGGAAUACCGAUGGCGAAGGCAGCCAUCUGGCCUAAUACUGACGCUAAGGUACGAAAGCAUGGGGAGCAAACAGGAUUAGAUACCCGGGUAGUCCCUGUCUCUUAUAC